AUAAAAUUUUCCCUUGAGCUUCAGUGGCCUACGACGGUCACACAACACGCCGGAUGCACUCUUCCACUUCAUCCAUCCAGCUUGUAUUCUAUGGGUGAGAUCUCCAUCAAAUUCUCCGUUCUUUUGCAAGAUAGAUCCUAGGUAGCGAAAACAGUCGCUCUUUGGUAUUUCCUAAUCUCCGAUCCUCACCCCUAACUCAUUUUGGCCUCCGUUUGCACUGAACUUGCACUCCAUAUAUUCUGUCUUUGAUUGGCUUAGGCGAAGACCUUUAGAUUCCAACACUUCUCUCCAAAGGUUAAGCUUCGCGUUUACCCCUUCCUGCGUUUCAUCUAUCAACACUAUAUCGUUUGCGAAAAAUAUACACCAAAGAAUAUCAUCUUAAAUAUUAAGUUUGUGAUCUUCGCUAGAUUGCUCCGGUCAUUAGUGUGGAUAAGUAUGUAAAUGGAUAGAGACAGGAAGCAAACACAAGAUGUAUGUGGUUCACCCAGAUUGGCUACGUCCACGGAGUAAAGGAGUUCUCAUUAAUUGUGAAGGGUUUACACAGUACAUAGGUUCAAGCUCUCCUUUAGUGAGUACAAGUGAAUGAUUUAGUACAAAUGACAUUAGGAAAUAUUAUGGGAGAAUGAUCUUGUAAUCACGAAACUUUUAAGUACCGAAGUGUGGUAUCGUCUUCACUUGCCUUAUCUGUCUCAUAGGUAGAUGUGGCAUUUUCUUUGGAAGUACUCUUCCUCCCUCCAGGGGUGUAUCUUUAACUGGUGGAGAUGCACAAGGUAAUGUAUCAAUUUCACUUGACGCUUACUUGUAGUUUCAGGCUUGGUCAAGCGCGAUACAAACCAUGUAGUAGGAGUCUCCCAAGUCGCCGAGCUAGGGGAUCUGCUGAAAGAGGUGAUAGACAAGGUAAGCAAUCAGAGCUCCAAGCAAUCAGUCCCAGAUCAGAAGUUUGAUUUCGAGUUCUGGCUGAUUGUUAUCCUUCUCUUUAUCUUGCAGGCAGCAUGAAGGAUAAAGAGAAGAAAAGGAGAAAAGGUGAUAUGAGAUACUUUUUCUUUUGAAGAAGUAACUUUCCACAGGCUUAUUCUUGAACUGGGCUGGAGGGUUUUCUGGUUUCCGCCAGAGUAUAAGGCCGACUGAAGAAUUUGAGGGUCAAAACAAGUCCAUCAAAUCUAGAGUACGUUCGACCCUGCUGAUAUGGGAUACUUUUGCUGUUGACAAAGUAGUGGAUGUAUCGGCACAUGUUCUAUUGCGCUUGUCUCCACGUGCUUCCUUGUAUCCUUCUCACUUGCCCUAUUUGUUCCUCAGGCAGAUGUGGUAUCUUCUCGGGAAGCAUAAGAUGUUGAAGAUGAGUACUCGAGAGCAAUGCCAGGUAAGUAAUUCCAGGCAGUCAGUUCCGGACUGGAAGCUUGAUUCCAAGUGCUGACUGAUUGCUCUCUUUCUCCUUGUCUUGCAGGUAAGAACAAGGCCAAAGGAAAAAACAGGGAAAAAGCAUGAUAUGGGAUACUCUUGCUUUUAACCCUGAUGAUAUGAGAUAUUCUUGCUCUGGUGUAGCUUGUUUGCAGAGGUAUUCUCGGGGGGAAAGAAAGCUGAGUAUUUCGAGAGGCUUCGUUGGGAGUGCCCUGUCAGAUAUGAGGAAGGGUUGAGCAUUUUUGCAGGUCUGCCUGUCCAUUGAGGAUGGAGGUCGACAUAUAUAGGAGUCUCCCUAACAACAAGGAGUAAUGCUAUUCAUUUACCCUGCUUGGUCAUAGCACGGUAGUGGGAGCUGCCAACUUCACGUGUUUUAACUCUGUCAGAGCACUUUGAAAAAGUGGUCUGUGGUAUCUGGAAAGCUGAUGUUACGUGUGAAGAUUACAGACAAGCUUUAUCCAAGAAGAUCUGGCUCUCGAAGUUGAGAAAGCGGUGUGAGGAUUACAGACAAGCUUUAUCUAAGAGGCUCUCGAAGUUGAGAAAGCGGUGCCUCUUCGGUUUUCGAACAAGCAAUCCUGUCGGGAAUCUGUCUCUCGAGAUUCGGAGAACGGUGCCUAUUCGAUGUUUGAGAAAGCAAUCCUGCUAGAAGUCUGGCUCUCGAGAUUAGGAGAGCGGUGUCUCGUCGUUUUUUGAGAAAGUAAUCAUGUUGGGAGUCUGGCUCUCGAGAUUCGGAGGGCGGUGCCUCUUCGAUCUUGAAGCAAGCAAUCUUGUUGGGAGUGUUUUCUCGAAUGUGAGUAAAGGUUAGGCAUGUUUGCUAGUCUACUUUGCCACGGAGCACAGAGGUUGACACACAGGGACUUUCCAAUUAUCCAGCAGUGGUCAUGUUCUUUUACCCUUGUGGGUAAUAAUAUGGUAGCUAGACCUUCAAAAUUUAUGUGUCUAAACUUUGUUAGUGCUGUUUCUUUGCUAUUCUUUUACCCUUCUUGGUCAUAGCGAUGUAAUGGAAGCUGCAAGCUUCACGUGUCUAAACUUUGUCAGAGAUUUUUGGCAAAGUUAUCUGUGGUACCCGUGAGCUGAUGUUGCGUGUAGAAAGUGGAUGAUUGAACAGUAAGAUUUACAUUCACGUGCUUUCUACUUCACUAGAAAUCUUCGACAGAAUGCCCGUAAUUUUCGCAAAGUUGAGUGUGCAUGUGACAGGUGCUGACAAGGCUGAAAAAGCAGGUGCCUCUUCAAUUUCUGAGAUCGACCCUCGUGGUCUCUGAGCAGCCCAGCUUUUGAGAAAGCAAGCGCCUCUUCGAUUUCUGCGAUUGACCUUCGUGGUCUUUGAGCAGCCCAGCUUUUGAGAAAGCAAACGUCUCUUUGUUUCCUGAGAUCGGCCCUCAUGGUCUCUGAGCAGCCCAGCUUUUGAGAAAGCAAACGCCUUUUCGAUUUCUGAGCAGGCGCCUCUUCGAUUUCUGAAGCUCCAUCGAGUGCAGAUUUUUAUAGAGGCUGGUAUUAAGUUCCAAAGCACACUUGAAUCUCCACCAGUAGAAGCUCCCUUCUUGCAUUUCUAAGAUCUUGAUUUAUCCGACCUCUUCUCUCUUCAACACCCUUGAAAAUGUCUGGCCCCUCCGACCGUCGUUUUGACUUGAACCUUGUUCAAGAGGCAGCCACGCCUUCUCCAGACAACAUAUGGCGCCCAUCCUUCUUAUCCCCUACUGGUCCUCUUACCGUUGGGGAUUCCGUGAUGAAGAAUGAUAUGACCGCUGCGGUGGUGGCCAGGAACCUUCUCACUCCUAAAGAUAACAAACUAUUUUCCAAACGGUCUGAUAAGUUGGCUGUUAAGGAUUCUCUGGCUCUCAGUGUUCAGUGUGCAGGUUCUGUGUCUAAUAUGGCCCAACGCCUAUUUGCUCGAACUCGCCAAGUUGAAUCAUUGGCGGCUGAAGUGAUGAGUCUCAAACAGGAGACUAGAUGGCUCAAGCAUGAGAAUAAACAGUUGCACCGGCUCGCACAUGACUAUGCUACAAACAUGAAGAGGAAGCUUGACCAGAUGAAGGAAUCUGAUGGUCAGAUUACAUGAUCAUCAGAGGUUUGUGGGUUUGUUCCAAAGGCAUUUAUUGCCUUCGUCUUCUUGGGCUGUACCGCGUAAUGAAGCUCCAAAUGAUCAACCUCCGAUGCCUCCUCCUUCUAAAGUGCUGUCCAGUACUGAGGCUCCGAAUGAUCCCCCUCUGGUGCCUUUUCUUUCUGGGGCUCUACCGACUGCUGAGGCUUCUCCUAAGCAACCUUUGUGAAGGCUUCUUCUUGUUUGUUUAUUUUGACUCAUGUAUAUGUACAUAUUUGUAACUUAUUGGAGAUAUCAAUAAAUAAGCUUUGUUUCAUUUCAACGUAUUGUGUUAAAUACACCAAAGCCUUCUUCGCUAAGUUCUUUGAAUUUUUCUUUUGUUGAAGCUUGUUUGUUGAAGCUUUGUGAGUGGAGCAUGUAGGUUGAGGUAGUGUUCCCUUAAUUUCCCGAGUGGGGAAAACUUCUCGAUUGGAGACUUGAAAAAAUCCAAGUCACUGAGUGAGGUCGGCUAUAUGAAUCUUAGAACGCCAUUGUGCUCGAUCAUGUGUCAUGUCCUCCGUUAGAUCCAAGUACUCUAAGUCUUUUCUUAGAGUCUUUUCCAAAGUUUUCCUAGGUCUUCCUCUACCCCUUCGGCCCUGAACCUCUGUCUCGUAGUCGCAUCUUCUAACCGGAGCGUUAGUAGGCCUUCUUUGCACAUGUCCAAACCACCGUAACCGAUUUUCUCUCAGCUUUCCUUCAAUUUCGGCUACUCCUACUUUACCUCGGAUAUCCUCAUUCCUAAUCUUAUCCUUUCUCGUGUGCCCACACAUCCAACGAAGCAUCCUCAUCUCCGCUACACUCAUUUUGUGUACAUGUUGAUGCUUCACCGCCCAACAUUUUGUGCCAUACAGCAUAGCCGGCCUUAUUGUCGUCCUAUAGAAUUUUCCCUUAAGCUUCAGUGGCAUACGACGAUCACACAACACACCGGAUCCACUCUUCCACUUCAUUCAUCCAGCUUGUAUUCUAUGGUUGAGAUCUCCAUCUAAUUCUCCGUUCUUUUGCAACAUAGAUCCUAGGUAGCGAAAAUGGUCGCUCUUUGGUAUUUCCUGAUCUCCGAUCCUCACCCCUAACUCAUUUUGGCCUCCAUUUGCACUGAACUUGCACUCCA
rnacentral:lncRNA from 1 species